GUAACAUUGAUACAACCUAAGGAUUUUUCUCAACAAUUGUUGCCCCUUGUGUAUGUAGGUGCACAAAAUAGGAAUCAGUCCUUUUGUUUACCAGGUUACUUAAAGAACAUUAACGUACGAGGAAAAUUAGUGUUUUGUGAUAUGCAAGGAGAAGCUCCAAGUAUUGUUCCAGGAAAGAAGUUCUAAACUCAGGUGAUGCUGACAUGAUACUUGCAAAUUCAACAACUUUAAAUUUCAGCAUUUUUGUUAUUCCUCAUGUUUUACCGACCGUUGAAGUGACUUAUGCAGCUGGUUUAAUGAUCA
rnacentral:lncRNA from 1 species